CCUACGGGUGGCUGCAGUCGAGAAUCAUUCACAAUGGGGGAAACCCUGAUGGUGCGACGCCGCGUGGGGGAAUGAAGGUCUUCGGAUUGUAAACCCCUGUCAUGUGGGAGCAAAUUAAAAAGAUAGUACCACAAGAGGAAGAGACGGCUAACUCUGUGCCAGCAGCCGCGGUAAUACAGAGGUCUCAAGCGUUGUUUGGAAUCACUGGGCGUAAAGCGUGCGUAGGCUGUUUCGUAAGUCGGGUGUGAAAGGCGCGGGCUCAACCCGCGGACGGCACAUGAGACUGCGAGACUAGAGUAAGGGAGGGGGAACCGGAAUUCUCGGUGUAGCAGUGAAAUGCGUAGAUAUCGAGAGGAACACUCGUGGCGAAGGCGGGUUCCUGGACAUUAACUGACGCUGAGGCACGAAGGCCAGGGGAGCGAAAGGGAUUAGAUACCCGGGUAGUC
rnacentral:rRNA from 1 species